rnacentral:tRNA from 1 species
CGCGGGGUGGAGCAGUUCGGUAGCUCGCUGGGCUCAUAACCCAGAGGUCGCAGGUUCAAAUCCUGCCCCCGCAACCA